GACGAACGCUGGCGGCGUGCUUAACACAUGCAAGUCGAGCGGUAAGGCCCUUUCGGGGGUACACGAGCGGCGAACGGGUGAGUAACACGUGGGUGACCUGCCCUCAGCUCUGGGAUAAGCCUGGGAAACUGGGUCUAAUACUGGAUAUGACUCCACGGUGCAUGUCGUGGGGUGGAAAGCCUUGUGCGGCUGAGGAUGGGCCCGCGGCCUAUCAGCUUGUUGGUGGGGUGANGGCCUACCAAGGCGACGACGGGUAGCCGGCCUGAGAGGGCGACCGGCCACACUGGGACUGAGACACGGCCCAGACUCCUACGGGGGCAGCAGUGGGGAAUCUUGCGCAAUGGGCGAAAGCCUGACGCAGCGACGCCGCGUGAGGGAUGACGGCCUGG
rnacentral:rRNA from 1 species